CCGGCCACCACCGCGCCAGAUCAAAAUAUGAGGAACGUGGCGGUACUUUGCGUUCUCCUGGCAGCGGGACAGGUGAGCAGUGACAUCGACACGCUGUUCCGGGAAGAGAUCCCGCGCCGGCCGCGUGCCAGCAAGCCGCGCGUGGAGGACCCGGCCGCCUACGACGUGU